rnacentral:rRNA from 1 species
UCUCCAGACUCCUACGGGAGGCAGCAGUGAGGAAUAUUGGUCAAUGGGCGCGAGCCUGAACCAGCCAAGUAGCGUGAAGGAUGACUGCCCUACGGGUUUUAAACUUCUUUUAUAAAGGAAUAAAGUGAGGCACGUGUGCCUUUUUGUAUGUACUUUAUGAAUAAGGAUCGGCUAACUCCGUGCCAGCAGCCGCGGUAAUACGGAGGAUCCGAGCGUUAUCCGGAUUUAUUGGGUUUAAAGGGAGCGUAGAUGGGUUGUUAAGUCAGUUGUGAAAGUUUGCGGCUCAACCGUAAAAUUGCAAUUGAUACUGGCAGUCUUGAGUACAGUUGAGGUAGGCGGAAUUCGUGGUGUAGCGGUGAAAUGCUUAGAUAUCAGGAGGAACACCGGCGGCGAAGGCGGCCUGCUGGACCGUGACUGACGUUGAGGCUCGAGAGCGUGGGGAGCAAACAGGAUUAGAUACCCGUGUA